rnacentral:misc_RNA from 1 species
UCGGCGUAUUUUGGAAAAUAUUCUGCAUUGCAAUAUUUCAAUUAAUGAAAAAUAACUGUCCUUUGUUCCAACCAUAAAUUAGGUUGAAAUGUUCAAGAUGAAAAAUGAAUAUUUAGAAAUGUUUAAUUACAAUCAUGCUAUUUGGGUUAGUACCAGUGACUUGUUACGUAACGACUUUGCUAGUACUUUUUGAAGCAUAAAGUUAGAUUUUAACUAACUUUAAUUUUUAACUACUAUAGGUGGAAUUAUAAAUACAAAAUAAUUGAUAAUACUAGUUUAUAAGUACCUAAUUAUUAGUAUCUUAAAAAAUAUAUUUAUACAAAAAUCACGAUAAUCAUAAAAGUGGGGAAAUUCUAUAUUCUCGAGUCAAUUCA